UCCACCACUCAGCUAAUCUGUUUGUUGUACACAUAUAACUUGGUCUACUUAUGCAUAUGGUCGCGGUUCAGCCGUCUUGGUGUCUUCUAAGACUGCAAACCCCUGAAGGGUGGAAAUCAGACAUUGAAUACAUUGGUUCCCGAGCUUAGCACAGCAAGGCACUAUCAAGAAAACACAGAGACUACCUCCUCGAGCCCACCUCUGCCAGGACUUGCUGUGCGCCCCUGGGCAAGUCACUCCCCUCUCUGAGUCUCAGCUUCCCCACCUAUGAUGAGAUGUAGUUAAACCGGAAUGUCUCUGGGGUUCCAUUUGUCUCCAAGACACUGCAAGAACACAGGCAGAAAAGCACUGGAUUCAUGUCUUUUCAUGGCUAUGUGGCAUUGUAAUAAUCACUCAGGGUUAGGCUCAGCAAGACAGCACAAUACCGCUCCUUUGUGUGGCUCAGACACGCCACUGCAAUGAGUGAAAACCCUAAAGUGGAUAUUUAGUGCUAUGGGAUGUAUGUUUGUGUCGCUAAGUAUAAUGGACAAUGAAGAAUGAUUUUAUCUCCCUUUGAGAACAUAAGUACACUAUUCUAUAUUUAUACCUCCCAUCUCCUAAUUUAGACAGGAGAGAACUUUUUCUGAUCAGCACUCACUUGCCAAUAAUUUCGUUCUACAUCUAAAUGAGGAACAGGAGUCAUAUAAGUUCACAGAUUGAAUGGAUGGUUGAUUUACAAAGCCCUUAAAAUGUGGCUGCAGGCCGAUGCUGGCAGCCCCAUAAUUAGAUAUGGCAUGCUCUGCAAUGAUGUAUUUUUUUACUGUUUUUUAAUAACUCAGUUCUCCUUCUGGGAUGAGGAGAAAAAUGGAAUUUGUUAAAAAUAAGUUGAGAUUUAGUGGCUUUUCAGCCUUCUGCUGCUUGUUGCUCAAAAUAUUCUAUAAAUAAGAGAAGCCCUGCCCUAUAGUGCACCGUAAACACCCACAGACACUCAGAGCCAAAUUCUUCCAAUUAUGACCCUGUGCCUGUUGCCAAGCUACUGCAAGGACCUACUUGAAAGGCGGCCAUCUAGGCCAUUUCCUGAUUAAGCUGCCCGGUAGCAAGGAAAUCAAGGCCCGCUGCUUUGGCAUUGUAGCUAGUCUCAAAUAAUUGCUCCAUGUUCUUGAAAUUAAGCCCUUUCCUUGUGAUAGAAUUACAAUUCAGAGAAACAUGGGAAGAGUCAGGGAAAUGCUACGAAAUGGAGAUAAGAAGCAAAAGAGUCAAGCAGUUGUUAUUAAUAAAACAUUUCUAACAUA